UGGAAACGACGAUUAAUACCGCAUGAGACCACAGAACCGCAUGGUAAAGGGGUCAAAGAUUUAUCGGUGUAAGAUGGGCUCGCGUCUGAUUAGCUAGUUGGAAGGGUAAAGGCCUACCAAGGCGACGAUCAGUAGCCGGUCUGAGAGGAUGAACGGCCACAUUGGAACUGAGACACGGUCCAAACUCCUACGGGAGGCAGCAGUGGGGAAUAUUGCACAAUGGGGGAAACCCUGAUGCAGCGACGCCGCGUGAGCGAAGAAGGUUUUCGAAUCGUAAAGCUCUGUCCUAUGAGAAGAUAAUGACGGUAUCAUAGGAGGAAGCCCCGGCCAAAUACGUGCCAGCAGCCGCGGUAAUACGUAUGGGGCGAGCGUUGUCCGGAAUUAUUGGGCGUAAAGGGUACGUAGGCGGUCUAUUAAGUCAGGUGUGAAAGCGUGAGGCUUAACCUCAUUAAGCACUUGAAACUGAUAGACUUGAGUGAAGGAGAGGAAAGUGGAAUUCCUAGUGUAGCGGUGAAAUGCGUAGAUAUUAGGAGGAAUACCGGUGGCGAAGGCGACUUUCUGGACUUUUACUGACGCUCAGGUACGAAAGCGUGGGGAGCAAACAGGAUUAGAUACCCUGGUAGU
rnacentral:rRNA from 1 species